rnacentral:sRNA from 1 species
GCGGGCCCUCGAAGGCCCAGGCCAGUCGUGCCCUGGCAGCGGGCGAAGCCACGUGGACUGGGCUGAGCUAGGCCAUGGUGCUCAUCUGCCAUCGCAGGCCUAGAACUGUAGGCAUGCAGCAGUGAGUUCCGGCCUUCGGUGUGCGAGGGUUAAAGGGCAUGGAAGAGUGAACCUGUGAGGAAAAGGAAUUCAGUUUCCAUAAUGUUACCACAUUGUUUUUUGAAAGUACUCAGGGAAGGAGGCCCUUAGAGCUGGGGCUGCAGAACGGACUUCAGAGGCCUAGAAGCAGGAGAGGUGCAAGAUCCAUCAGAACAAGAGAGGGGUAACACAGCAGACCCGUGGACCUGGGCUGUGCUAAAGACAUCUGUGCCGAUGUGCUGGGGAGUAGAGGUUCAGCCAUCCCAGAUGACAUUUGUGUUGUCCACUACUGCAGCACCCACUCAUCUCUGACAAUGAAGAAAACUACUCCUGUCAUAGACAAGGUAACCUCGGCUCCCAGCAUGUGUUGGUGUUGGUCCCUCCUAGACCCCAUCAGCGUUCCACCUCUCCUGAGCCUUGCUGAUGCAUGUGAAAGCCUUCUGUUCCUAACAAAGGAAUGCCCUGACUUUUCUGCUUGCCCUGGGAAGUACACCUGGGCGGUAACACUGUUAAAUCAGUUCCUGUUUUUUAUUCCUCUUUCUUUAUUCCUGAGGGCAUAAGCCUGUUUUUCCACUGUGCUUCCUAGAUUUCUCCCCUCAGUGAUCUUGAGGGCAUAUAUUCUUUGAACCACAGUGAAAGCUUUGGCAUUCACAUAACAUGAAUGACCCGAGUAUAUGUUUUUUCUUAAACCUUGCAGGCCUACGCCUGCAAAUUCUCAGUGCCGUUAAGGUGCAGGUGCUGACAAAUCGAGGUUCUACUGAGAUCAGGAAAGUGAGAAAUCCCUGAAGAGGUCGUGUCAGGAGCCAACCAGUGAAGUGAAGGGACAUAUUGGUAAAAUGGUCCAUGAAAUUAGAGCCUCAGUAAGCGGGAUACGGUGAAUGACACCACAGGAAUUGAAAGCACUUGCAAAGGAAAGUAAAGACUUAGGCAGUGGUGAGUAAACCUUGUAAAAAUGUACAAGGUAAUAAUGGUAGUGUUUUU